AAGCGAAAGUUCGACUUGAGUUGAUAUUGCUGGCAGGUAUUGGAUUAAUAAAAUUGUAUAGGGGUGCAUGAGUAGCUCCAAAUUGUCUUCUCGUGUGAAUAUCGAAUGAAUUAUUAUUAUAUAUGAUAGAUGUGCAUUUCAUGGUAGGAUUGUAGUAGUUUUAGAUAGCUAUAGAUAUUGAAUCUAUAACCAAUAUCUAGACUUUCUGAGUCGAAUACUCAUUUUUGUUCAAAUAUUUUUUCCCAGAUUGUAGGAU
rnacentral:misc_RNA from 1 species